rnacentral:rRNA from 1 species
GACGAACGCUGGCGGCGUGCUUAGCACAUGCAAGUCGAACGGAAAGGCCCUGUUCUUGUGGGGUGCUCGAGUGGCGAAAGGGUGAGUAACACGUGAGUAACCUGCCCUUGACUUUGGGAUAACUUCAGGAAACUGGGGCUAAUACCGGAUAGGAGCUCCUGCUGCAUGGUGGGGGUUGGAAAGUUUCGGCGGUUGGGGAUGGACUCGCGGCUUAUCAGCUUGUUGGUGGGGUAGUGGCUUACCAAGGCUUUGACGGGUAGCCGGCCUGAGAGGGUGACCGGCCACAUUGGGACUGAGAUACGGCCCGGACUCCUACGGGAGGCAGCAGUGGGGAAUAUUGCACAAUGGGCGGAAGCCUGAUGCAGCAACGCCGCGUGCGGGAUGACGGCCUUCGGGUUGUAAACCGCUUUCGCCUGUGACGAAGCGUGAGUGACGGUAAUGGGUAAAGAAGCACCGGCUAACUACGUG